ensembl:lncRNA
AGCUGAGUGCCCCGGGCAAGGGCGCUCAGAUACGGGUCACCUGCAUGCACGGGGAGUGCCUACAUCUGCCUCUUCUCCCAGAUGUCAGUUCCGAGGAAUCCGGAAGACAGGAGGUGCUCACUUCAGAGGGGGACCCGCCAGCCAUGUCUGGAAGAGACUCAGGCAGCACCAAGCCUCUACCAGCCGCAGGAGAGGAGCCAGCAGAAAAAGAGAUGAAGCAACACGGCAAGAAAUAAGAUUCUGUGUGCAAACAGAGGCUCCCUACAAAAACACUGCAAUCAGGAAGGACGAAUGGCUGGCUGGGCGCUUGACCAGAUUUAGAGGCGGAUUCUUUACCACUGGCCUCACCUGGGAAGCCAAAUAAGUCAGAUGGAGGAAGACACAUGCUGUGUGCCCUCACAUGUGAAAUCCUGGAAAACAAAGAGCGCCUGGACGCAGAGAACGGAUCAGCGAUUUCCAGAGGCAGAGCUGAUGUUAGUGGAGACAGAAGUGUGGCUGGAGCCACCUCCACGUUCGUUACAGGAGGAUGAGGGGGUGCCCCCAAAAGGGGGAGCAAGUCCUUUGUCUAGAGAAGCAAGUCUUUGGGGAGUUAUUGGUUAUGAACAGAAGACCCAAGGUGAUGGCUGCAAUGAGGAAUUCUGGUAAGAGAAAACUGAAGUUCUGUGUAUCGUAAUAUGAAAGGCUAGUCCCCGUGAAGUGGAUAAUGAUCUACUUUUGAACACCUUUCAGCUCCUGGAAAAAGGUCAACAGAGGGCAUGAAAAGGACCCUGGCUGUAACUGGACUCCAGAAAUGUGCUGAGAGGCAGGGCCUGAGGAGUAUUUUGAGUUGUUUCCUAAUUUGCAUCUUAACUCCUCUCUAGAAACCAAGGAAAUGGCAACCCACUCCACUGUUCUUGCCUGGAGAAUCCCAGGGACGGGGGAGCCUGGUGGGCUGCCGUCUAUGGGGUCGCACAGAGUCGGCCACGACUGAAGCGACUCAGCAGCAGCAGUAAGCACCAAUGGUUUCAGCAAACGUUCAUUAGCUGUUAAUUAGGGUCUGGUUUAUUUUGGCACUUUCUUAGGGAGCAAAGGAAAGGCUAGGAUGGUGCUGGCAGGUGACUGUCCACAGGAAGCCCGGAGGCAGUAAAGAGGUGUUGGGAGGAGCCGGGCAGAGAGCCCAGCUGCCAGCGUGGCCAGGACAAGGUGAUGCCUGGAGACCACAGCUGAUGCGCGUUCGCUGGGAACCCUCAGAAACACUCAGGAGGGGACUGAACUGGCGUGCUGCAAUUCAUGGGGUCGCAAAGAGUCGGACACCUGAGCAACUGAACUGAAUUGAAAUGAACUUACUGAAACCGAAUAUGGGGUGUGGACUAGAGUUAUCCUAUUCGGUUAGCAAGAGAAUGGUUGCCUCUCAGUUAUCUGCAGACUUGGGGACAUUCAGGUUACACUGAAUUACUGUACUGAUAAUAAGUAACAUUCAUGGCAAAAUAAAACACUAUAUAGUUUGCAAAGCAUUUCUUUGUUUGCUAUAUCAUUUCACAGAUGAUUCAUUACAUGUAAGUUUCCAAACCUAUCCCGAUAUUUGGAAAAGAAUUAUUUUCCCUGAACAGCGCAUGUAAAAACAUUUAAACAGACCCUAGCACCAUCUUAGAAUAGAGUUACGUAGUUAUUCGUCCAGGACUAGCUCAGUUAGUAAAGAAUCUUCCUGCAAUGCCAGAGACCUGGGUUCGAUUCCUGGGUUGGGAAGAUCCCCCGGAGAAGGAAAUGGCAAUCCACUCCAGUAUUAUUGCCUGGAGAAUCCCAUGGACAGAGG